rnacentral:rRNA from 1 species
GGGUUGUGAGGUUAAGCGACUAAGCGUACACGGUGGAUGCCCUGGCAGUCAGAGGCGAUGAAGGGCGUGCUAAUCUGCGAUAAGCGCCGGUAAGGUGAUAUGAACCGUUAUAACCGGCGAUACCCGAAUGGGGAAACCCAGUGUGACUCGUCACACUAUCAUUAACUGAAUCCAUAGGUUAAUGAGGCGAACCGGGGGAACUGAAACAUCUAAGUACCCCGAGGAAAAGAAAUCAACCGAGAUUCCCCCAGUAGCGGCGAGCGAACGGGGAGGAGCCCAGAGCCUGAAUCAGCAUGUGUGUUAGUGGAAGCGUCUGGAAAGGCGCGCGAUACAGGGUGACAGCCCCGUACACAAAAGCGCAUGUGCUGUGAGCUCGAUGAGUAGGGCGGGACACGUGGUAUCCUGUCUGAAUAUGGGGGGACCAUCCUCCAAGGCUAAAUACUCCUGACUGACCGAUAGUGAACCAGUACCGUGAGGGAAAGGCGAAAAGAACCCCGGCGAGGGGAGUGAAAAAGAACCUGAAACCGUGUACGUACAAGCAGUGGGAGCCCCACCACCAAAGCAUUCUCUGGUGUUGAAGGCCCUGCAAAGCAGCAUCGCGGUGGCGGAGCGUCGUUUGCGACGCCCAACACACAAAACAAGCGGUGAAUGCUUUGGGGUGGGGUGACUGCGUACC